CUUUCUUUGCUGGCGACCGGCGCACGGGUGAGUAACACGUAUCCAACCUGCCUUUACUCGGGGAUAGCCUUUCGAAAGAAAGAUUAAUACCCGAUAGCAUAAUGAUUCCGCAUGGUUUCAUUAUUAAAGGAUUCCGGUAAAGGAUGGGGAUGCGUUCCAUUAGGUUGUUGGUGAGGUAACGGCUCACCAAGCCUUCGAUGGAUGGGGGUUCUGAGAGGAAGGUCCCCCACAUUGGAACUGAGACACGGUCCAA
rnacentral:rRNA from 1 species